CCACAUUUGGUAAAUUGGAAGACAUACAGAGAUUAGAUAAUGAGAAAGGCGAAGUGGAUUAGGAACCAAUAAUCAAAAAACGUUUAUUGUGAAAAGGGAGAGUAUUAUCGUGAAGACUCAAGAUGCAAAUUGGCUGUGAGAUGGAGUUACUCGAGUGGCAUAGUAUUUACUGAUGAAUUCUGAGGCUUUUCUGUCGAUGCCGGGCUCUGCAACCCAAUGGGCUCUGUCUUCGUCG
rnacentral:lncRNA from 1 species